AGCCCCAUGCGGCUGCGUGGUGCAAGAUUCCCAGGACCUAACGCACUGUUUACAUGCGACAGUCAGGGCACCAAUCAAGGCGUCUGAGGCCACUGUUUGAGAUACAGCUUCAAAACACAAGCUUGGGACAAGCCGAUGGUGUAACAAUUACGUCACUGGACUCCCAUGCACUUGACCAUGGUUCGAGUCCUGGACCCGGUGACUUAAAACUCAUGCCAGCACACACAGGAGCUGAGCCCAGGACGGAAAAUGAUGGCAUGAAGUCACACACCGAGGAUGGGAACUCAGGCCUCCAGUGCCAACCCAGGUUUGUCCUCCAGACUGUGCGGUCCUCACUGCUGGGCAAAGUUCAACUCAGCUCCCAGAGGCUUGCAGAAGCAGUCUCCAUGGAAACACAACAGAGGAGAUUCAGGGGACCAACCCGUUCAUCUCGCCUCCCCAUUUUGCAGAUGAGUAA